AUUGAACGCUGGCGGCAUGCCUUACACAUGCAAGUCGAACGGCAGCACGGGAGCUUGCUCCUGGUGGCGAGUGGCGAACGGGUGAGUAAUAUAUCGGAACGUACCCUAGAGUGGGGGAUAACGCAGCGAAAGUUGCGCUAAUACCGCAUACGAUCUACGGAUGAAAGUGGGGGAUCGCAAGACCUCAUGCUCAUGGAGCGGCCGAUAUCUGAUUAGCUAGUUGGUGGGUAAAGGCCUACCAAGGCAUCGAUCAGUAGCUGGUCUGAGAGGACGACCAGCCACACUGGAACUGAGACACGGUCCAGACUCCUACGGGAGGCAGCAGUGGGGAAUUUUGGACAAUGGGGGCAACCCUGAUCCAGCAAUG
rnacentral:rRNA from 1 species